GGCGACCCGCUGAAUUUAAGCAUAUUAGUCAGCGGAGGAGAAGAAACUAACCAGGAUUCCCUCAGUAACGGCGAGUGAACAGGGAAGAGCCCAGCGCCGAAUCCCCGCCCCGCGGCGGGGCGCGGGACAUGUGGCGUACGGAAGACCCGCUCCCCGGCGCCGCUCGUGGGGGGCCCAAGUCCUUCUGAUCGAGGCCCAGCCCGUGGACGGUGUGAGGCCGGUAGCGGCCCCCGGCGCGCCGGGCCCGGGUCUUCCCGGAGUCGGGUUGCUUGGGAAUGCAGCCCAAAGCGGGUGGUAAACUCCAUCUAAGGCUAAAUACCGGCACGAGACCGAUAGUCAACAAGUACCGUAAGGGAAAGUUGAAAAGAACUUUGAAGAGAGAGUUCAA
rnacentral:rRNA from 1 species